rnacentral:rRNA from 1 species
CCUACGGGUGGCAGCAGUGGGGAAUCUUGGACAAUGGGCGAAAGCCUGAUCCAGCCAUGCCGCGUGUGUGAAGAAGGCCUUCGGGUUGUAAAGCACUUUCAGUGGGGAAGAAAGCCUUGGGGCUAAUACCCUCGAGGAAGGACAUCACCCACAGAAGAAGCACCGGCUAACUCCGUGCCAGCAGCCGCGGUAAUACGGAGGGUGCGAGCGUUAAUCGGAAUUACUGGGCGUAAAGCGCGCGUAGGCGGUCUGAUAAGCCGGUUGGGAAAGCCCCGGGCUCAACCUGGGAACGGCAUCCGGAACGGUCAGGCUAGAGUGCAGGAGAGGAAGGUAGAAUUCCCGGUGUAGCGGUGAAAUGCGUAGAGAUCGGGAGGAAUACCAGUGGCGAAGGCGGCCUUCUGGACUGACACUGACGCUGAGGUGCGAAAGCGUGGGUAGCAAACAGGAUUAGAUACCCUAGUAGUC